rnacentral:lncRNA from 1 species
UUCGGUACAUGUUUUUGAUAAUAUAAAUAAUAGUAUUCCGAGCGAUCUUAACCUUUACGGAAACUUCAUCUAGGGAAUUGGUUGAAGCCAAAACAGCCAUUGAAGGUUUCUUCUGCAGAGUAUAGAAUAAGUUAGAAGUUGAAACAUGAGAACACUGAGAAUAUGCAAAAAGGUGGAACAUAUAUAUAUAUAUAUUCAAUUUUAAGAAUGACAUGUAUGAUAUUACAAAAAUAUAUCUAUUUAUAUACAGAUAUAGAAAUGCAUGCGUGUAGAGAUAUAGAUAUAUAGGAAAAUAAACCAUGGGACAGAUACUGAGACAAUAAACUAGAAAGAAAAAAGAAGUAACAUACAAGCUAAGGUGAAUUAAAAUCUUCAAACAACAGAGAAUAACUAUACCUAUACUACAUACAUGAAUACAUAUAUAUAUAUGAAUAUAUAUGUAUAUAUCAAGAUAUAUGUCAAGCAAAAGUAUGUGAUAAGCAGAAGACUCACGCAAUAUAACACUAUAAUACCAUCAAGCAGAGAAAACUAGAGAGCUGAUGAAGGAAGAUGUGAGCAGACAACAAAAAUGGUCUCAAGAAAAGAAGUAAACUGAUGGGGAAGAAGAACACUGAGAAAAAACAUGGAGUUAGAGGAUUCAAUAUAUAGAAGAGCAAGAAGGAUGAGUGUCAUUUUCAUGCAUGUCUUAUCCAAUUUGCUGUUCAAGAAUUUUAUUUUGGAAAAAAAAAAAAGAAAAAACAAAAUAAUUAUGUAAUAUAAUUAUAAAUUGUGAAAAAAAUAUAAAAGAGAAGAGAUGGGUCUGUUCAAAUGAGUUUGUGCCACAAAUUUGAGUCAUCCCCUUCUUGACUUCUAUAUAUAUAUAUGUAUCUAUAAGUGGGUAUUUAUAUAUGUUGAAAUUUCCAUAUUGAGUUGUGUAUUUUUAUUAAAUUUUUUUAUUUAAGGAAGUAUUUACAUAAUUUUUUAUAAAUUCAAUUGAAAUUCUCGAAUCGGGUUACAUAUUUUCAUAUAUUUUUAUUAAAAAAUUAUAUUAUAGUUGAUAUUUACGUACGAACUAAUAACAAAAAUUUCGUAAUUGAUAAAUAUAGAAUUACGUAUCGUAAUUUCUCCCUAUAAUUAAGAAAAUUUGUGAAUUUAUGAACUUUAGAUUUCUGGGUGUUCACAAAUUUUUGAUAAUCUCUCCUAAAUUUCACUCUCAUGUUUCCAUCACAAACCAAUAUAAACAGUACUUAUAAUUAUAAACAGUAGAUAUCUCAAGAAACUUCUUUUUGCAAAUUAUUACAUUUGGAGUGAUUAUAACUCUUGGACUAAUUUGUAUUUGGAAAAUCACUUUAAACUUUAUUUGUCAAAUUAAUUAACCAAAUUGUUAACAAUUUCUUCUGCCCUUUUGCCCUCCAAAGUUAAUUAAUUAUUAAGUAAUUAUAUUGUAUUGUUAAUUCUUUCCAUUAAUGGAAUUGCAGAAGAUGAAAGGAAAUUUUCCCAUCUCAAAGGGAUUACAUACAUAUAUAAACACAUAUAUAUACACAGACACACAUAUAUAUAUAUGCAACACAUGAAUUAGAAUAAGAUUAGAACUAAUUAUGCAAUGAAUUAUAUGGACCACAGAAGUUAAUCACCAUAAAAGUUUCCAUUCUAGCAUCCAGUCGUUAGAUGUUGUUAUCAAUUUAAUCAACAAUUGACAUUCAAUUAUUACUUACAUACAUUUAGUGAAAUACGUAUAUAUAUAUAUAUAUAUAUAUAUAUAUUACCAAUAGCAGAUUGAAGUUCAUCUACUGAUUAUAUAAUCCAGUUUAUAAGAUCAGAAGAAGUAUUGAUGUAUAAGCACAAGAAGUGUUUUGUAUAAGCACAAACAAAAAUAUGAUACAUGCACAUGAUCUAUAUAUAUAAAUAUAUAUAUAUAUAUACAUAUAUAUAAGCAUGCAAAAGGUAUUUUGAAGCGAACCCAGAAAACAAAAGAGGGGGGUUAUCAUGUUAUAGGAAAAUGUUUUGUUUCAUUAGUCUUAAAUAUCAAUUAAUAUUCUCCAACUUUAUAUCUAUAUAUAUAUAUGUAUGUAUGUAUACAUGUGUAUGUGUAUAUAUAUAUGUAUAUAUGUAUAAAAAGAGAAUAGCUAGUUGUUAGAAAGAUAUCAAAUCAUAGUAAGGUUUUCCCAGAAGUGUAUUCUUUCAUUCUUGGAAGGCAAACAUAACUUUUUCCAUUGUCUUGAAACUUCUCCCAUUGCUGGUAUUUUAAGUUUUUCCAAAUGGAGGCUAUGAUAAAUAUACAUACACACACACAAUAUAUAUAUAUAUAUAUAUGUGUAUAAACAUACAAAUGUGAUGGGUCACUUUACUCAGGCCUAUACUAAAUGUACAUAUAGUCCUAAAUGAAAUGACAGUGACAAUUCAAAAUCCAAUCAAGCAAUUUGAUGGAGGAAAGUUAGCCAAGUGUAAAACAAAAUUAGGUCAUCAUGAUGAUCAAACUACUUUUUAUUUUUUUGAAUUUUUUGUUGUAUGUAUAGAUUAUAUUCCAUCAAAUGACCCCUCACAAAUUUAAAAUUGACAUAUGCACUUUAAUUAAUAAUAUUAAUUAUUAUAAGUUUAAUUUCUUCUAGAAAAUAGUAGAGUUCCAUAGAAUUUUUACAUUAAAAUACAAUAUAAUUUUAACUCAUCUAAUUUUUCGAAACUAUAUAAACAUAAUUCUGUAAGUAACAAAAAUAAACAAGAACUAAAACGAAUAUCAAACCAACGUUUAUUUUAUAAUUUUUCGAUAUAUAAAGACUAACCUUUUCGGAGACUUGAAGGAAAAUGUGAUUUUCAGAGGGACUCGAAGGGUUGAGAGAACGAAGUGACAGAAUUCUUUUCUCAUUUACUGUAAAGAUUUAAGAAGUCGAAACCAUGCAAAUCGAACACUAAACCCUAUCUCAAAGUUUAACCUGAGUUUCUCGACUCAGAUUCUGAUCAACGACACUAAUUUGAAUUCCUUGGUUUUAAGUUUCUUCCACUUUCAAGAAGAAGAAGAAGAAGAAGAGAGAUGUAGAAGUGAGAACAGGAGAGUAGAGAGAGGGCGUGUAUGUGUUUUUGUGUGUGUGUGUAUACAUACGUAUAUACAUAUACAUUGGGGAUUAUAAUAUGUGGCUAGGUUUGAAUAUUUGUAUAACAGCUUGCUCCUUAAAAGACUCUCUCAACAAGUUUAAGCUGUUUGAAAUGGCUGAAAAUAAGGAGGAAAUUUAUGUCUCUGC